AUGGGCGAGAAUGAUAUUCAAAUGGAGAGUACAGAGCAAAUGCAGGAGCCUCACGCUUCAACCUCGGACAAAAUCGACUUGUCAUUAGACGACAUUAUAAAGCUGAAUAAGAAGGAACAGAAGGCAAACAGAGCUGCCAACAGAGCUAAAACUAAACGUGCUGUUAACAGGAACAACGUCUUGAAGAAACUCCACCAGGUUCCGCAGCAACAGAGGGGACUCAGACGAGGAGCGCAGCAGUACCAAGGGCCUGGCAGGGUGAGAGGUUUAAGGAGACAAAGAGGAUCUGGGAGGGGCAUGAUUUCGAGAAGGGAUUCACUAAAUAGAGCUGCUGCUGCUGCCACGACUGGUGAGCAGUUUGAUCAGAGCACAUUCACAUCGAGGGGAACAUUCAGAGGACGGGGAAGAGGUAGAGGAAGAGGAGGCGGACUGAGCAGGGGUGCAUUCUCAACAAGAGGACAAAGGGGUGGAAGACCAUUUGUAUUAGACAGAGGGUUUGCCGCUACAAAAAGAGCUGAGAAACUACAAAAGUAUCAGACAAUAAGAAGUCGAAGAACAGCACCAUCUGGCUCCAUGCUGACAGUUUCCCUGCCAAAUGCUAAAUCUGCACCUGUCGCUGUGUGAGUAAAUCAACCUUCUCACUUCCUUCUCAUUCACUGUGUGUACAAACAAAAAAAAUGUCCUUUUUUAAAAGAAAAUGUAAAUUAUUGAUUGUUAUAUGAUGAAGGUUUUUACAUUUUUAGGUUAUGAAAAAUAAAAUGUUAAAAAGUACCUCAUACAGUGUAAAUACUGUUUUGCAUUCUGAUAUUAGAAGGAAAACUCAGCGAUAAAAACUGAAUCCUAUACUUUAAACAAAAUGUAAAAAAUAUAUAUCAAAAGUUGUUUACAUUUGAUAUCAUCAUAUCAAUAAACACCAAACAAUGAACAGUUUUUAUUUUUGGGAGAAUUAUUUUGUGAUGUCUGUCUGGUCUGUCUGUUUAUUUGGACAUGCUGCUUAAAGUAAUAUAUCAAAAGUUGUUUACAUUUGAUAUCAUCAUAUCAAUAAACACCAAACAAUGUAACAGUUUUUAUUUUUGGGUAGAAUUAUUUUGUGAUGUCUGUCUGGUCUGUCUGUUUAUUUGGACAUGCUGCUUAAAGGGAUAGUUCACCUAAAAAUUUAAAUUCUGUCACAAUUUACAGACUUUCAUGUUGGGUAAACUAUCCCUUUAUGCAAAAAUUGGUGAGUCUUUGGCUACUUUAGUGGAUAUUGAGACAUUUUUAUCCCAUGUUACAAGUGGUAUUCACCAAUUUCCAAUAUAAAAACUGGCUAUUUAUUAACACAUACAGAUAUUUCAGAUGUUUCAUUCUUGAUGUUUCUUUUAAAGAUGUUUCCUUUUGUAUCUAAUUAAAAAAUAUCUUUAAUAUUUUUUUUUUGUUAAAAAUGAUAAUUGUUCGGGGGUCUUCAAUUUUAUGAAGUAAUAGUAUUUACUGAAAAAUUCAUUUUUGGUAAAAAAAAAUAAUUUUGGUGCAUCACUGUUUACUGUAAUAAUGUCGUUCAACUUAAUAUCUGUAACAUUUCUGACAGCGGGAUAAGGGGUUUUUAUUGCUGUGUACAAACAAAAAAAAUGUCCUUUUUAAAAGAAAAUGUAAAUUAUUGAUUGUUAUAUGAUGAAGGUUUUUACAUUUUUAGGUUAUGAAAAAAUAAAAUGUUAAAAAGUACCUCAUACAGUGUAAAUACUGUUUUGCAUUCUGAUAUUAGAAGGAAAACUCAGCGAUAAAAACUGAAUCCUAUACUUUAAACAAAAUGUAAAAAAUAUAUAUCAAAAGUUGUUUACAUUUGAUAUCAUCAUAUCAAUAAACACCAAACAAUGAACAGUUUUUAUUUUUGGGAGAAUUAUUUUGUGAUGUCUGUCUGGUCUGUCUGUUUAUUUGGACAUGCUGCUUAAAGGGAUAGUUCACCUAAAAAUUUAAAUUCUGUCACAAUUUACAGACUUUCAUGUUGGGUAAACUAUCCCUUUAUGCAAAAAUUGGUGAGUCUUUGGCUACUUUAGUGGAUAUUGAGACAUUUUUAUCCCAUGUUACAAGUGGUAUUCACCAAUUUCCAAUAUAAAAACUGGCUAUUUAUUAACACAUACAGAUAUUUCAGAUGUUUCAUUCUUGAUGUUUCUUUUAAAGAUGUUUCCUUUUGUAUCUAAUUAAAAAAUAUCAAUAUUUUUUUUUUUGUUAAAAAUGAUAAUUGUUCUCAUGUUGUUAGCCCCUUUCAUCAUUUUGGUGAGAAAACAAGGGCACAGACAUGAGCAAAUGUUAACAAUGGAUGAAUUCUGUGAAGUCCUGUCAUAGAGGUUGUUUUGUCUCACAUGAUGUUAUCAAAAUGAACCUCAGGUUGAAGCUAACAGUAAAUCCUUCACUUUGCAAUGACUAACCUCAGGCCACUUCUUGAAGACUGUUCAUUUUAUUGCCAUAGUUACUAUAGUUAAACCAUGGUAACCACAAAUUAACCAUGGUUUUGCUACACUAACCAUAGUUUAACCAUGGUAUUUGUAGUAAAACUGGUAAUCAAUACACCAAACAAACGUGGUUACUACACUUUCACUUCAAUAAAAGUUGGUUCAUUUUCAUAAGGGUCAUUAAUACAAGCUCCAGUUAAAUCAUCCCAACACUCCUCCAGCCCAGACUAACCCAGCUCUCUGUUCCUAGCUCUAUCUGUCAGUGGAUCACCAGCUUUCUGACAGAUAGACAACAGCUAGUGAGAAUUGGUAAAUUCACUUCCAACGCCCGCACCAUCAGCACUCCUCAGGGGUAUGUGCUCUCCCCACUGCUCUUCUGCCUCUAUACCAACAACUGCACCUCUAUAGACCCCUCUGUCAAACUGCUGAAGUUUGCAGACGACACGACAGUCAUGAUACAGAAGAGCAUACGCAGCAUAUAGUGAUAUGGAGAGACACAGAGGAGACUGUUGUUGACAAAGGAUUGUUGAAUAAAGUUUUUUUUUUCUGCUUACGGAAAGUAUGUCUUUCAUACUUUUAUGGACUUUGUUCUUUCAUACUUUUAUGACACUGUUAUUUACUUGGCAGUCAAUUGGACAGUCACAGGCCUCAUGGUUUUCAUCCAAAAUAUCUUCAAUUGUGUUCCGAAGACGAAUAAAGCUUUUACAGGUUUGUAACGACAUGGGAGUAAGUGAUUAAUGACAAAAUUUUCAUUUUGGAGUGGAGUAUCCCUUUAACAACUUGGAGCUUAACAUGCUCAGAACUGUGGAGAUGAGGACUUCAGGAGAAACCCCCCUUGCCCUCUUCUGUCACCAAGGAAAAUACCUUGUGUGUGUAAGCACACUUGGCAAUAAAGUUCUUUCUGAUUCUGAUCUUUAAUAUCAAUGCUUUAUUAACCCAGGCAAACAUACAAAAGCAGACAAGCGACUGGAGACACCAUAGACGGAAGACACAAGCAUCCGCU
rnacentral:lncRNA from 1 species